rnacentral:rRNA from 1 species
GACGUAGGGCGCGAGCGUUGUCCGGAUUUAUUGGGCGUAAAGAGCUCGUCGGCGGCUUGUCGCGUCGAUCGUGAAAACUCACAGCUCAACUGUGAGCUUGCGGUCGAUACGGGCAGGCUCGAGUUCGGUAGGGGAAACUGGAAUUCCUGGUGUAGCGGUGAAAUGCGCAGAUAUCAGGAGGAACACCGGUGGCGAAGGCGGGUCUCUGGGCCGAUACUGACGCUGAGGAGCGAAAGCGUGGGGAGCGAACAGG